GUUAAAUGUUCGCAGAAGUGAACGGGAAGUGGAUUAUUGCGUUGCUAUAAAGUAGCGGCUAAUAAAAGAAAGGUACAAAACGGGUCUAUAUGUUGACUCGAGCCAGGAGAAUGCCAAGAGUGCCCGGAUGAAGAUCAAGCUCGAUGAGGAACCGAACACAAUAAAAUCUAACACUCGGGAUUAAAGCUUCCGCACGGCGUUACGCCAUAUCUUUUAAACAACGAACUUAUCUAUAUUAUGUUGAAAACUUUUAAGUUGUAAAAGUUUUAGAUUACUUGUAUUUUCUAAGAAUACUUAAUCAAAUUUCAUGU
rnacentral:lncRNA from 1 species